rnacentral:rRNA from 1 species
UACAGAGGGGGCAAGCGUUGUUCGGAAUUACUGGGCGUAAAGGGCGCGUAGGCGGCCUGCUAAGUCGAACGUGAAAUCCCUGGGCUCAACCCAGGAACUGCGUCCGAUACUGGUUGGCUUGAAUCCGGGAGAGGGAUGUGGAAUUCCAGGUGUAGCGGUGAAAUGCGUAGAUAUCUGGAGGAACACCGGUGGCGAAGGCGGUUCUCUGGGAAUGUCCUGACGCUGAGGAGCGAAAGCGUGGGGAGCGAACAGG